rnacentral:rRNA from 1 species
AACGAACGCUGGCGGCAGGCUUAACACAUGCAAGUCGAGCGCCCCGCAAGGGGAGCGGCCGACGGGUGAGUAACGCGUGGGAACGCACCUUUUGGUUCGGAACAACUCCGGGAAACUGGAGCUAAUACCGGAUAAGCCCUAACGGGGAAAGAUUUAUCGCCGAAAGAUCGGCCCGCGUCUGAUUAGCUAGUUGGUGAGGUAACGGCUCACCAAGGCGACGAUCAGUAGCUGGUCUGAGAGGAUGAUCAGCCACACUGGGACUGAGACACGGCCCAGACUCCUACGGGAGGCAGCAGUGGGGAAUAUUGGACAAUGGGCGCAAGCCUGAUCCAGCCAUGCCGCGUGAGUGAUGAAGGCCUUAGGGUUGUAAAGCUCUUUUGUCCGGGAAGAUAAUGACUGUACCGGAAGAAUAAGCCCCGGCUAACUUCGUG